rnacentral:rRNA from 1 species
UACAGAGGGUGCGAGCGUUAAUCGGAAUUACUGGGCGUAAAGCGCACGUAGUCGGCUUUGCAAGUCGGGUGUGAAAUCCCUCGGCUUAACCGGGGAACUGCAUCUGAUACUGGAUGGCUUGAGAUUGGGAGAGGGAUGCGGAAUUCCAGGUGUAGCGGUGAAAUGCGUAGAUAUCGAGAGGAACACCUGCGGCGAAGGCGGGUUGCUGGGCCGACACUGACGCUGAUGCGCGAAAGCCAGGGGAGCGAACAGG